rnacentral:lncRNA from 1 species
UUGAAGCCACCACACUGGCCCUGAUCCUUGUUCCAAAUAUCAGAAGCCUUCAGGUCUCGAAGGUGAAGCAUUUCCUGCAGGGCAGCCCUGUGUUCGUGCUCUCGGAAAUCACCGCACGCGUCCCUUGGUACAGUCCUGUCAAGACGUCUCCUUCUGCAGGACCUCAUGCCACCAAGGGACAAAUCCACCCUGCUCACGAGUUCCGACUUCUUUGCCCUGUGAUUUCGUGACCCCACGAAGACCCCAGAUGAACCGAAGUUCUGAUAUCCUGAAAUGGUGUACUGAGUGGAAUAUUGCAUACUGCCCAGUCUGUGAAGAGGAAAGAUUUAAACAUAAACGGCGCAUCUGACAGUGUGUGACCUGGUCUGAGGUCGUGCAUUCAGUGGAAACCAGCCCCGCACUUGGAGGGUACCAGCGCGCUUGACGGAACUUCCCAAGUCAGAGACUCAAAGGACCAAUGCAAGGCUUGACCAGCUCUGCUUGGGAAUUUCCAGAAUCGCGUAUGUCCAAGGCGGGCCAUCUGACAUUGUGAUGAUAUCCCAACGCAUUCCCUAGGACGGAACACAGCGCUUGCCGGCUUCUAAGCAUCACGUGAGAAAACAUUGUGCCCUCACGUCGCCUGUGGUUACACCGGCGUUCUUGGCAACCUCAGUAAGUCUGGGAAGAAUUUCAGCCCCACGGAGUGGCUUUCUUGCCUCUGAACAUCAACCUACUUUGGGACAGGAAG